UACACACACACACUGAGACCUACAGACAUGCUGCAAAAGAAUCUGAGACACCCAGAUCCAUGGCCUUUCAAGUCCGAGACAUUCCAGAAGGCUGCCACGAAACACCCAGGCUUCCUGCCACAUAACCUUUCACAGUACGCCUACUUGUGACUUUCUGGUUCGCUGCCUCCGAGAUAUAUCGCCCUACGUGUGUGAGACAUCAAGGUCCACAGGAACACACGCCACACCUGAACUACGCAGGCAUACCACCCCUCAGCACGGAGACGCCAGGCUCACAGCCUUUUCCGCGCCCCAGGCGGCGACGCUUGAAAUCACAUCGGGCAUUUGUGAUCAGCGGGGGUCCUGGGGAGGAAGUCACGAGUCUCAGGACAUCUGGCCUGUCUCCUUCUGUCCCAGGGAUGGAUGUGUGAGCUGUCCGCAGAGCCCGUUGGAGGGAAAAGCCUACCCCAUCUUGGUGCAUGAAAAGCUUGGAAUCACGCCUGACUGAGUCUGAGGCUGGUGACUGACACGUAGCUGGGAAGAACACGGCCAGUGAUGCCGUGAACGCGGGGCCCUUCGGCGCCAAGUCCUAGGCUCCUCUACCUGCCUGCUGUUCCAGUGACCUACCGCCGGGUAGCAAGACCUAGCGGCAUAGACCGGCCGUGUGAUCAUGCUCCGGCGUUGGAGAAUCUGCAGUUCCACCAGGACAAAGUGGGGGUAGAUUUUCUCUGCUUGACCGGGUCUGAAGCUGGGUUGACAGCUGGGGGCUAUAUUAUUGCUCAUGUGGGGACAGUCGAUGCUGCCCUCUGACCGAGCCCCUCAGUGUGGACUCUCCAGGUAGCCUGGGCCUCCUCACAGCAUGGCGACUGGGCUUCGGAGGGGAUGUCCCAGGAAGCAGAGGGCAGAAGUCGCCAGCUUCUCUAGGACGUGGCGCAGGAAGUGGACCAGUGUCACUCCUGCCAUAUUCAGUUGGUCAGCCAGCAAUAGAGGGAGGCACGCAUAGACCCGACCUCUUGACAGGAGACAUGUCAAGGAAUUUAGGAGCCAUUGUUUAAAACUGCCAGACCCCCCGUAGCCUCUCCUGUUGGGUGAGGGGCUCAGGAAAGAGACACAAACUCCACAGCGUGCUCAAGAAGAGCUCACGUGGGGAGCGUGCGUCACAGAGCGCCAGCGACGGGGACAUAGUUGUCAGGGACGAUUCCUGGGGUCACCCUGUGCCAGCCUCUGGGGGAGCGAAGACAAGACCUUAGGGAGUGGCUUUAGAGGGGGGUGCACGGUCUAGAGCGAAGAUUUUUAAAAGAUUUUAUUUAUUUAUUUAUUUGACAGAGAGAGCAAGUGAGCACAAGCAGCGGGAGGGGGAAGCAGACUUCCCGCUGAGCAGGGGGCCUGAUGCAGGACUAGACCCUAGGACCCUGGGAUCACGACCUGAGCUGAAGGUGGACGCCUAACUGACUGAGCCUCCCAGGCCCCCCUAGAGGGAAGAUUUUAAAAGAAACACCACCAACCUGAUGUAACAGAUGGCACAUGAGAGACGUCUAGGGAAGGGACACUCCUCUCUGCCUCAGGAGCUCAGAGCAGGCUUCUCGGAAGAGGUGACAUCGGAGCCGAGGGAGAAGGGCAUCGGGGUAUGCGAACAAGGCAAAGGCAAGGAGCCAGGAGCAAACACAGGGUUUGGGCAGCUACGAGUGAUUCAGUGUGGCUGUGGGGUGGGCAGAGCUGAGACACAAAGCCCCAGGGACAAUGGGGCCGGGUUCCAGCAAGGAUCACAAGGGAGGAUAACUUAUGGAUGGGAAAUACGCGUGCGGCAUGAGAGCAAGGGCAAGUCCAGCAGACUUUUGGCCUUGCCGAGACGCCGAGGAGGAGGGAGGGUCGGGGAGGGAAGUGGGUUUGGACACAGAGACUCUGAGAGGCUCGUGGGGCAUUUGGGUGGAGAUCCCACUUAGAGCUGUGUUGGGUCGGCUCUGGGAUGAAGACCCCAUAAGACGUGGGGAGCUGCGGAUGGACAGCCUUGAAUGUCAGGCUCAACGGCCAGGUCUAUGUGCCAUGGUCACAUUCCAUAGGAAGAGCCCCGGAAGGGCUUUAAGCAAGAGAUGGGACCGGCUCAUGCUUCAUGAGGGCCCAGUCCAUGCUGGGCACCGUCCCAAGCAUCGUCCAUGAACUUAUAUGGACCUCGCAGUAAUCCCGUGAGGUCCGUGCUGCCACACUUCACCGAGGGUGAGAGAUCACCGAUGGUAAUGUGGAACAUUAUGCCGGGACACGUCUCCGACUUAAGGGGGCUUCUUCAGAGCUGUUAAGAGGUAAACAGAAUUAAAAAAAAAAAAGCCAUUGAAUCAAUGAAUUACAUGAUUUGCAUUUCAAAUACGAGGAAAAAGGAAUGGAGCCCUCAUAGUAACUUGCCCCAGUGAGACACAGGGCCAGGAUCUGAAAUCCCAGCAGCCCGACUCCUCUGAACCAUCAUUUGACGCCGGACAGGAGGUCGUCCGCAGUGUGGAAUUUCGCGAAGACCGGUGUGGCCCAGGAGGGUGUGGCGGAGGAGAGGGGACUGGACAGUCCGAUGGCACCGUUGGGAGACUGGGGUCUGUAGUCAGAGGGCUACAGGACAGGAGGAGGGCUCAGGUAGGCUGGAGGUCCUUCAAGAAGGGGCACAAAGGUUGACCCACUGGGCGUCGGGUGUGAAAACAAGGACAACUCCAACAUAUUGGGCCUGGAAAGAGGGUACAGUGUAGGGGGGGCAGGAGGCAGCUGCUGCAGGUGGGAGGGGAGCCGUGGGGCCUGGGCCUCCAUGGCCGUGGCUUCUCCCCCCAGCCUGGGGAGUACAGCUGCCUGCUGGGCGCUCACUAGGCCUGUCAAAUGAAUGGAUCAGUGAGUUGUCGUCUGACCUUGGGCAAGUUGUGCGAGCUUGAUAGAUGGUCUCUGGG